GAUGAAGAACGUAGCGAAAUGCGAUAAGUAAUGCGAAUUGCAGAAUCCGUGAAUCAUCGAAUCUUUGAACGCACAUUGCGCCCCCUGGUAUUCCGGGGGGCAUGCCUGUUCGAGCGUCAUUUCAACCCUCAAGCUCUGCUUGGUAUUGGGCGUCGCCGGGGAGUCUCCCCGGCGUGCCUCAAAGCCAUCGGCGGUGGUGCCUUUCUCUAAGCGUGGUAGAAUUUUUAUUCGCUUCUGAGUUGGGCUUCGCCUGCCGGACAAACCGGGCCCUCGCGGCCCACCUUCUCAGGUUGACCUCGGAUCAGGUAGGGAUACCCGCUGAACUUAAGCAUAUCAAUAAGCGGAGGA
rnacentral:misc_RNA from 1 species